CUCUCCGUCUCUCAUCUCUCUCAUUCUCUGAACCGGGACAGACCGGCGAUCCCCGCGACGCGACAGAGGGGAGGGUACGGCGAUGGAGUGAAGCGGCGGAGGUGGCGUCGACGGAGGGUCUCUCCCGGCGAUCCACGCGACGGAGGGGAGGGGCUGCAUCAGAGGGGAGUGGAAGGCGACGGACCAGCCUGUCCCGGCGAUCCCCGCGACGGAGUGAAGGGGCGGAGGCGGCGGCGUCGAUGAAGUGUCUCUCCCAGCAAUCUCCGCGACGGAGGAAAGCACGGGGUGGAGGGGACGGGGACGGAGGGAAGCAGCGGAGGCACCCGACGAGGAGAGGAGCAGCCAGGGCGGCGUUGGUCGAUACAGGCAAGGGGAGGACCGGCGACGGCGGCGUCGGACGUGGCCGACGGAGGGCAGGUGGGCGCGACGGAGGGAAGCGGUGGAGGCAACCGGUGAGGGGAGGAGCGGCGGCUGUCGCCGGUGAAGGGAGGAGCGGCGGUUGUGGCCGGCGAGGGGAUGAACGGUGGCGGCGGUGGGUGAGUGUGGGCCGCUGGAGCCAGGAAGAAGUGGGUGGCGGCCGCCGCGGCUCAACUUCACAUCUCCGGUCCAAAUUUUUAUAGAAGGGAUAAAAACCCGCCAGCACAGCUAGCGGCUGGCGGCUGCUUCUUUUGCUCUGACCCGAUGUUGAGCGAGGCAAUAGCCGACGAUCAGUGCCUCCAGGACCGGAGCUGGAGCAAGAACCAACUAACGACUGAUUCAUUGAUUGUCUGCUACCGUUUGUUCUAUUGUGUAAUUCUAGUGGUGCUAGUAUUGGCUACUCGGAACUUGGAAGCAUGUCACUCAAAUCAGCAUAGUAGCGGAGAAAUUGACUAGGAUUAUGAAAUUUCGCUUCUGUCUGAUAAUUGAAAAUUGUCUCAAAAUUAAGAUUUU